AGACUAUUUCGACACAAAAACGAUAAUAGUGACAAGUAGAAACAUACACAGAAAUCGACAAGUGAGCGGACAAAAAAAACUAACUAAAAGUGGGGUGAAGUGGUAUGAGGUCUCGAGAAGAGUGUUCAAGUGGAGAGAGAGACAGAAGGAAAGCAUCUUGAUAAACACUGUGAUAAACUCAUCGGUCUUCGGGUUUUCAUUCCCACUGAC
ensembl:ncRNA C34F11.15 ncRNA